UAGGGAAUCUUCGGCAAUGGACGAAAGUCUGACCGAGCAACGCCGCGUGAGUGAAGAAGGUUUUCGGAUCGUAAAACUCUGUUGUUAGAGAAGAACAAGGACGUUAGUAACUGAACGUCCCCUGACGGUAUCUAACCAGAAAGCCACGGCUAACUACGUGCCAGCAGCCGCGGUAAUACGUAGGUGGCAAGCGUUGUCCGGAUUUAUUGGGCGUAAAGCGAGCGCAGGCGGUUUCUUAAGGCUGAUGUGAAAGCCCCCGGCUCAACCGGGGAGGGUCAUUGGAAACUGGGAGACUUGAGUGCAGAAGAGGAGAGUGGAAUUCCAUGUGUAGCGGUGAAAUGCGUAGAUAUAUGGAGGAACACCAGUGGCGAAGGCGGCUCUCUGGUCUGUCACUGACGCUGAGGCUCGAAAGCGUGGGGAGCAAACAGG
rnacentral:rRNA from 1 species